CAGUAGCCGCGGUAAUACGUAGGUGGCAAGCGUUGUCCGGAAUUAUUGGGCGUAAAGGGCUCGCAGGCGGUUGCUUAAGUCUGAUGUGAAAGCCCCCGGCUCAACCGGGGAGGGUCAUUGGAAACUGGGAAACUUGAGUGCAGAAGAGGAGAGUGGAAUUCCACGUGUAGCGGUGAAAUGCGUAGAGAUGUGGAGGAACACCAGUAGCGAAGGCGACUCUCUGGUCUGUAACUGACGCUGAGGAGCGAAAGCGUGGGGAGCGAACAGGAUUAGAUACCCCGGUAGUCCCUGUCUCUUAUAC
rnacentral:rRNA from 1 species